GGUGACUGCGUACCUUUUGUAUAAUGGGUCAGCGACUUAUAUUCUGUAGCAAGGUUAACCGUAUAGGGGAGCCGAAGGGAAACCGAGUCUUAACUGGGCGUUAAGUUGCAGGGUAUAGACCCGAAACCCGGUGAUCUAGCCAUGGGCAGGUUGAAGGUUGGGUAACACUAACUGGAGGACCGAACCGACUAAUGUUGAAAAAUUAGCGGAUGACUUGUGGCUGGGGGUGAAAGGCCAAUCAAACCGGGAGAUAGCUGGUUCUCCCCGAAAGCUAUUUAGGUAGCGCCUCGUGAAUUCAUCUUCGGGGGUAGAGCACUGUUUCGGCUAGGGGGUCAUCCCGACUUACCAACCCGAUGCAAACUGCGAAUACCGAAGAAUGUUAUCACGGGAGACACACGGCGGGUGCUAACGUCCGUCGUGAAGAGGGAAACAACCCAGACCGCCAGCUAAGGUCCCAAAGUCAUGGUUAAGUGGGAAACGAUGUGGGAAGGCACAGACAGCCAGGAUGUUGGCUUAGAAGCAGCCAUCAUUUAAAGAAAGCGUAAUAGCUCACUGGUCGAGUCGGCCUGCGCGGAAGAUGUAACGGGGCUAAACCAUGCACCGAAGCUGCGGCAGCGACACUAUGUGUUGUUGGGUAGGGGAGCGUUCUGUAAGCCGUUGAAGGUGUACUGUGAGGUAUGCUGGAGGUAUCAGAAGUGCGAAUGCUGACAUAAGUAACGAUAAUGCGGGUGAAAAACCCGCACGCCGGAAGACCAAGGGUUCCUGUCCAACGUUAAUCGGGGCAGGGUGAGUCGACCCCUAAGGCGAGGCCGAAAGGCGUAGUCGAUGGGAAACAGGUUAAUAUUCCUGUACUUGGUGUUACUGCGAAGGGGGGACGGAGAAGGCUAUGUUAGCCGGGCGACGGUUGUCCCGGUUUAAGCAUGUAGGCGGAGGUUCCAGGUAAAUCCGGUACCUUUUUAACGCUGAGGUGUGAUGACGAGGCACUACGGUGCUGAAGUAACAAAUGCCCUGCUUCCAGGAAAAGCCUCUAAGCAUCAGGUAACAUCAAAUCGUACCCCAAACCGACACAGGUGGUCAGGUAGAGAAUACCAAGGCGCUUGAGAGAACUCGGGUGAAGGAACUA
rnacentral:rRNA from 1 species